rnacentral:rRNA from 1 species
AGUGAACGCUGGCGGUAGGCCUAACACAUGCAAGUCGAACGGCAGCACAGUAAGAUCUUGCUCUUACGGGUGGCGAGUGGCGGACGGGUGAGGAAUACAUCGGAAUCUACUUUUUCGUGGGGGAUAACGUAGGGAAACUUACGCUAAUACCGCAUACGACCUACGGGUUAAAGCAGGGGAUCUUCGGACCUUGCGCGAUUGAAUGAGCCGAUGUCGGAUUAGCUAGUUGGCGGGGUAAAGGCCCACCAAGGCGACGAUCCGUAGCUGGUCUGAGAGGAUGAUCAGCCACACUGGAACUGAGACACGGUCCAGACUCCUACGGGAGGCAGCAGUAGGGAAUAUUGGACAAUGGGCGCAAGCCUGAUCCAGCCAUACCGCGUGGGUGAAGAAGGCCUUCGGGUUGUAAAACCCUUUUGUUGGGAAAGAAAAGCAGCAGGUUAAUACCCCGCUGUUCUGACGGUACCCAAAGAAUAAGCACCGGCUAACUUCGUG